CCUCGUCUCCGCACCAUCCCUCCUUCCUUUUCUCCCUUCUUUCCUCUCCCAACAGCACUUCUGUCUUCAUAUACAGCAGUUUCUCUAGUCAACCUGAGAUGAAUCCCAAGACGGAAAACGAGCAAAAACUGUGUCUGAGGCUUCUGAGAACAGCGGAAUGGCUUCUCUCCAGUCAUGUUCCUCAUCUGGCCUUCUUCCAUCCCUCACCUGAAAAUUAGUCACCUUCUUACAAACCUGGAUGUAUAUUGCUCUCGACCAGCAAGAACGACACAACACAGUCGGAUUCUUCUCAACAGCCUUUAUUGCAGGAUCGCCUUGAUGCUUCUACGGGGACCCCAGGCGCCCAGGGAGCCCUGCUUAUAUGUACCCCAGCACAGGAGAAGGCUCCGUGGCCC
rnacentral:lncRNA from 1 species